rnacentral:rRNA from 1 species
GAUGAACGCUGGCGGCGUGCCUAAUACAUGCAAGUCGAGCGAACAGACGAGGAGCUUGCUCCCCUGACGUUAGCGGCGGACGUGUGAGUAACACGUGGAUAACCUACCUUUAAGACUGGGAUAACUUCGGGAAACCGGCGCUAAUAGCGGAUAAUAUAUUGAACCGCAUGGUUCAAUAGUGAAAGACGGUUUUGCUGUUACUUGUAGAUGGUUCCGCGCCUCAUUAGCUAGUUGGUAAGGCAACGCCUUACCACGGCAACGAUGGGUAGCCGACCUGAGAGGGUGAUGGGCCACUGUGAAACUGAGACACGGCCCAGACCCCUACGGGAGGCAGCAGGAGGGAAUCUGGCGCAGGGGGCGAGAGCGUGACGGAGAAGCGGCGCGUGAGUGAUGAAGGUUUGCGGAUCGUAAAACUCUGUUAUGAGGGAAGAACAAAUGUGUAAGUAACGAUGCACGUGUGGACGUUACCUAAUAAGAAAGCCACGGCUAACUACGU